UUCUUAUUCUUUGAGUCUAGGGAAAACAACUACUGUAGUCGUGGAGGGCUGUUUAUAUGCAUGAGCAGCCCUGGGUAUUUUGUGAGGGCUUACUAUUUAUUUUUAGGGUGCUAUGCGUACUUCUAGGGAGAUGGAGGCAAUGGUCAGGGCUAGUAGCCAGUGCCUGGUUGCUGGGCCCUUGACAGUGGCAAGGACCCACAGGAGGUGGUACAGGUUGCUACUAGUUGCAGGGCCCUGUGAAGGGACAGUGAUCAGAUAGGUGUAGUUGGCACCCGGAGCAUUUGGCAGUGGCAGCAGCAGGGUGCAUGAGUUCCCAUGGGAAUGAAAGCAACAAGUGGUGCUCAGUUGCAGUGACCUUUUCUUUGCCGUCCUCUAAGGUGACCAGGGCUGCAGGUGGUGCCUGUUCACAGACCCCUAGUGGUGGCGUGCUAUGUCCACCUCUGGUAUAUGAGAUGACUGCUGUGGUUUGCCCCUGCUGCCUGUACACAGGCAGCACUGCAUUUCAUUUAGCCCCACUGCCCUUAGCACACGCAAGAGGUGCCUGGCCACCCAUAGGCCCCACAAGAAGUCCUGUUGCCCAUAGCCCAUGCAAGUGGUGCCUCGCCACCCAUAGCCUGCACCAGAGGCACCCCACUCUAUGACAGUCUGUGUGUGCAUGCACAGGGAAAGAUGAAGUCUGCCUUCCUCCUCUCACCACUCCCUAGCCCCUCAGGCUGUCUCUAUGCAGCCAACCCUAGUCCUCUUUCUGGAACUGACCUCCAGAGCGAGUCUUAGCACCCAGCCUCUGCCCAAGCAUCUCCCGCCAUAGUGUCUGGGGGCAGUGGUACAGGUAGUAUGAUUUUUUUAGUCUACCAGAGUUAAUGCUGUAUCACUGUAGGUAAAGUAGAGAAAUCUUGCAGUCAUAUAGAUCCCAUUACCAUGCCUUUUUUGUUAUUUUUUAUAUUAUGGUUGUCAUAUCUAUUGUAUCUCCAUAAUUAAAAGCCCACUAGAAAAUACUUUAAGUUUUACUUAAAACAGAUCAUUUUUAAAGAAUUUAAAUGGAGAAACCAUAGUCUUUUAUAUAUUUCUAGAUAUUUCUCAUUUCUAAUGUUUUUUCUUUAUUGUUGAAGAACCAAGCUUCCCUCUAAUAUUAUUUCUCUUUAGUCUGAAUAAUUUUCUUUAGUAUUACUUGUAAAAGAGGACUCAGGAAAAAAUAUUUUUAGUUUGCCUUUAUUUCAAAAUGUCUUGCUUUUGAUCAGGAUUAUGUUGAAUCCAUAGAUUGAUUUGGGGAGUACUGCAUCUUAACAAUAUUAAGUCUUCCAAAGAAUGCAGAGUGUGUUUCCAUUUACUUAGGUCUUCUUUAUUUCUUUCAAAAAUAUUUCAUAAUUUUCAGUCUACAUGUGUUUUCUUUUGUUAAAUUUAUUCCUAAAUAUUUAAUUCCUUUUGAAUUGUAAAUGGAAUUGCUUUCUUAAUUUCAUUUUUGGA
rnacentral:lncRNA from 1 species